GAUGAACGCUAGCGGCAGGCUUAAUACAUGCAAGUCGUGGGGCAGCGCAGUGUAGCAAUACAUGGGCGGCGACCGGCAAACGGGUGCGGAACACGUACGGAACCUUCCUUUAAGUGGGGGAUAGCCCAGGGAAACUUGGAUUAAUACCCCGUAAUACUAUGAAGUGGCAUCACUUUAUAAUUAUAGCUCCGGCGCUUAAAGAUGGGCGUGCGCCUGAUUAGGUAGUUGGCGGGGUAACGGCCCACCAAGCCUUCGAUCAGUAACUGGUGUGAGAGCACGACCAGUCACACGGGCACUGAGACACGGGCCCGACUCCUACGGGAGGCAGCAGUAAGGAAUAUUGGUCAAUGGACGCAAGUCUGAACCAGCCAUGCCGCGUGGAGGAUGAAGGUCCUCUGGAUUGUAAACUUCUUUUAUUUGGGAAGAAACCCACGAUUUCUAUUGUGGUUGACGGUACCAGAUGAAUAGCACCGGCUAACUCCGUGCCAGCAGCCGCGGUAAUGU
rnacentral:rRNA from 1 species